GUUUCGGUGGGGGGGACACGUGCCCCCGCCCCACCCCCGUUAAUGAGCAACCGGUGCCACCCGGGGCUCCCGGAGGCCAAAGGGAGGAUGUUGGCCACCGGCCGGUUGGGCUGGGCCGCUGGUGGCCUUCCUGUGGUGGCCUUUCCUGUCCCCGCCAUUGUGCUGGAACAAUCCCCGCGGCCCCGGCGGGAUUAACCCCAUCCCGGCCUGUUUGCACCCGGGGCCGGCGGCGCCCCGUGUCCUGGCUCCCACCCCGGGGAGCCUGGGAAGUCACCUUUGUGCCAUUUCUGCCCUAAAUCCACCCAAAACAACCCAAAAAUCCUCCCCCCACCAGCCUUGGUGCCCUGGGAUGUCACCUUUGUGCCAUUUCUGCCCUUUCUGCCCUAAAUCCACCCAAAACAACACAAAAAUCCUCCCCCCCGCCUCCAAGUCCUGGUCCCUGGUGCCAUUUCUUCCCCAAAUCCACGCAAAACAACCCUCAAAUCCUGCCCCCCCCAGUCCCUUUGGAUGUCACCUUUGUGCCGUUUCUGCUCCAAAUCCACCCAAAAAUCCUUCCCCUCCCCAGCCCUGGUCCCUUGAGAUGUCAACUUUGCCAUUUCUGCCCCAAAUCCACCCAAAACAACUCCCAAAUCCUGUCCUCCCCCUCCCAGACUUGGCCGUGCCGGGGGUCCGGUGACGUUCCCGGCCAGCCCCGGGCCACCACGCCGGUGUCGGGGGCCACCACCAGGGAAGCCCUCUGGGGACACCAGAUGCCCCAUUUCCUCCGUGUUUCACACCGAAAUUGCUGUUUCUUCCCCCCCCCCCCCCCUGCGGUUUCGCUUGGCGGCGGCUCGGGGUGCAAAGGUGGGGGAGGGUUGGGGACAAGGCCCUGCCACUCCCCGGGCACCCUGAGUCACCGGCAGCGUCACCGGCGUCACCGGGAGUCAAGUGGGGGGGGCUGUGACCGGGAGUCACUGACUGCCAGGACAAGGGACACGGCGGGGACCUCCCGGUCCAUGGUGGCACCGGGAGGGGACAUGUGUGACCCCCUGGCCCAUGGUGGCACCGGGAAGGGA
rnacentral:lncRNA from 1 species